AAUCAUCUGAACGAUCUUCGAAGAAUCCUCGAGCAAUUUGAACAUGCUACACGCAUGACAAAAACGAAGCAAACAUAUGACGUUACAUCGUGCAGCGUGUCGGAAAGAUUGCGUGGGAAAAGAGAAAUUAGACGAAAUGAAAAUUAAAACAGAAAUUCGAAGUGAGGACGAGAGUGGGAGUGGAGAGUAGGAGUGACCAUCGGACAGGGAGUAGAAAGGAAAGAGGCGCGCAGUAUCGAAGAUAUCGGCGCACGGGACACUGUAGCUUUGCAGACUUUAAUAUCGUGGCAUUCCCUUUAUACCAACGAACGAAGCACAACGCUGUCCGGGUAUAGGCAAGGGAGAACGUACGCCAAGACCAGAAGGACGUCCUGUGACGCAUUCAAUUGAAAAUCUCAAGGCACCCUCGUGCACCGUUGGAAGAUAAUAUAUAGGGUUACAUUACGUGCAAAAUCGAUCAGUUAUUUUAGCUGGGAAUAAAAUUUCUAAUGAAACAGCCAGCGAGCAAUUUUUUACUCGUAGAUAAUAACUACUAUAAUAUAUACUUCGUCGCAGAUUCUUCAGGUGGUACACAAUAUGUAAAAUGUAUAUACUUACGCUUGUAAUAUGUACGAAUAUCCGUGACAGAAUGGAACAUUCGUUUUCGAUGGGUAUCUUCAUUUCAUACUUAUAUUUUACUCAUUUGCUAGAUACAACGAACAAAUGGAAAUUGAUGAAACCUUAAGAGAAAUAAUUAAUAAUUAUUUGUCGCUAUGCGAGCGCGUAUAAUCGAAAAUAUGGCAUGAUUCGAGAGGAGUCGCGAAACGUUGGCAAAUGGGAUUCUAUUUAAUUCAUUGUGAUUGUUACGUGAACUAUUAAAGCUCUGCACAUGCUGCUGAAUAUAAUUAAUGUACGAUAUCUUUAAUAAAUUGGAAAUUAAUAACAAAACAGACAGAACGGAGAGGUCAGGACCAACGCAAACUUAAAGAAAAAUGAAAUCCACAGAUAAGUCUAAAUAAUAAUGCAAUUUGCUCUCUGAAGAAGAAAAAAAAAAAGAAGUUACGUCUCGUCGUGAAGUCAUAAUUAUACGAAUUCCGAGAAAUUCAAUUCAGAAUGUUUAUUCACGUCUAUUGGAUCCACGAUAGGAAUGAUUGUAUAUUUAAUGUAAUUGAUUUAAUCAGCGAUUUAAAAGUCAUCGUUGCAAAUUUUAGAAAAAUUACUAUAUUAUUGUUUUAAUCAUAUAGUUAUAAUACAAAAUUAUUAUGAUUUUAAAUGCGGUUUUUAAAUAAUUCUUUAAUCGAUGUACAAAUUAAUUACCAUAACUGUUAUUUAUAUAUGUAUAAUUAUUGCGAUUACGCACAUUUGAGCGUAACAUUUACCGUUUAAUUUAAUUUAAUUUCUAAUUAAUGACCUUAAUACUUUCGUAACAGAGAAAAGUAAGACUGUCAGAACUGUGUGUUUAAAUGAAAACUUCUUGAAUUCUUCUUCGAUCACUAUCUUGAGCUUUAUCGACGAAAACAUAUACAGUUUGAAAAUGUUGUUUGUUCUAUUAAAAGUACACUUGAAUCCUACGUAAAUGACAUGAAUAUGUAUGUAUACGUAAAACGAAAAGAGUAUUCUUGGAAUUGAAACUUACAUACACGAUUUGCAUGAUGUGACAUCAUUACGAUCGUUUUAUGCGUAAAGUUAUCAACAUUUUUUUGCCUACGAAAUAAACGACGCCUUAACAUUGAA